AGUGGAGUUAGAGCAAUCAAGAACAAAUCUACCUAGAUAUGGAGCUUCUCAGUGGUCUAAUCUAGAGUGAUGGUGCAGAUGUACUCAGCAAUGUCCACCCUCUAUGUGUUUUCUUUCUUGGCUUUAGGUAGCAUCAUGGCACUGAUAUCCCUUGUCAGCAGUUUAGCUUCCUCAUAGCUAAUUCCAUUGUCAACAAGGCGCUUGACAUACCUGUUGAGUGGAGCAGAGGAUGUCUCAGAAGUAUCCUUAGGAAGUGAGGUGAGGAUCUUUUCCAUGAUGGUUGUGCACUUAGCAGCAUGAAUCUCCUGCUUAGAACAACGCUUCUUUGGAUAAGGAACAGGAGGAGUGUAGGCAGAUUCGGGCUGCAUCGGGAUUCUCACCUCAUAUGGUGCAGUCCGGACCCAAUGUCGAUCGACACCUUCGUAUGGAAUCGUCUUAGAAAAUAGUGUUCCAUAGGGUGUCGAUCGACACUAGUAGGUGUCGGUCGACACCAGCUCUGCAGCUGUGAGCUCCAACUCGUCUUCAGUGUCCAAUUCCUCCCACUCAUCAUCUCCAUAUCUGACCAAGAUGACAUUACAGCUCUUCCUAGAGUUAGCAUCAAGGUUUCAAGGAAGAAAAAC
rnacentral:sRNA from 1 species